GACGAACGCUGGCGGCGUGCUUAACACAUGCAAGUCGAACGGAAAGGCCCUGCUUUUGUGGGGUGCUCGAGUGGCGAACGGGUGAGUAACACGUGAGUAACCUGCCCUUGACUUUGGGAUAACUUCAGGAAACUGGGGCUAAUACCGGAUAGGAGCUCCUGCUGCAUGGUGGGGGUUGGAAAGUUUCGGCGGUUGGGGAUGGACUCGCGGCUUAUCAGCUUGUUGGUGGGGUAGUGGCUUACCGAGGCUGUGACGGGUAGCCGGCCUGAGAGGGUGACCGGCCACAUUGGGCCUGAGAGACGGCCAAGACUCCUACGGGAGGCAGCAGUGGGGAAUAUUGCACAAUGGGCGGAAGCCUGAUGCAGCAACGCCGCGUGCGGGAUGACGGCCUUCGGGUUGUAAACCGCUUUCGCCUGUGCCGAAGCGUGAGUGACGGUAAUGGGUAAAGAAGCCCCGGCUAACUACGUG
rnacentral:rRNA from 1 species